rnacentral:rRNA from 1 species
UACGAAGGGGGCUAGCGUUGCUCGGAAUCACUGGGCGUAAAGCGCACGUAGGCGGAUCCUUAAGUCGGGGGUGAAAUCCUGGAGCUCAACUCCAGAACUGCCUUCGAUACUGAGGAUCUUGGAGUCCGGGAGAGGUGAGUGGAACUGCGAGUGUAGAGGUGAAAUUCGUAGAUAUUCGCAAGAACACCAGUGGCGAAGGCGGCUCACUGGCCCGGUACUGACGCUGAGGUGCGAAAGCGUGGGGAGCAAACAGG